AAGUCGUAACAAGGUUUCCGUAGGUGAACCUGCGGAAGGAUCAUUAACAAAUCUAUACACAUAAACCGUUGCAUUGGCCGUUGACGGCAGCUGCCUCAGCACUGUUGUGCCGGCGCUGCCCGACGCGGAGAGAGACAAGGCGAGUCAUCGGUAGGAUGAUGGCCUUUCUCUACAUAAACCUGUCUAUGUUGUUGUCUAACAGUUCGUAAUAUAGCAAUAAAAACAACUAUUAACAGUGGAUCUCUUGGCUCCC
rnacentral:misc_RNA from 1 species